UCUCUUUGUAAAUUAAUAUACUACUAUCAUGUUAUUAAAAAUAUCUAUGUAACAAAGCCUAAAAAAUAUCUAUGUAACAAUUUAUUUAAUAUAAGUAGAACUCAUAUGAAACUAUCAUUGAGACUGUGGCCAGCUCGAUCGGUAACAUGCGUGGUGCCACAAUGGUGAGUAUUGUACCCAAUUAGGAGGCGUAAAAUUAAAUAAGGCUUUGUGUUCGUGGAAGGGAAAGCGACGGCCAGUACAUACGUGCAGGAUCAGAUAUAUGGGCUGGUGGAGGGAGGUGUCCGCCGAUAUGGACGGCAAAAUUAAACAAGAUAGCGGUGGUUGCAAGGCCAUCGCUGCACUGCACGCGCGCGUGUCUCACGAGAACCAAACCGGCCGGACGGUGUGUUUGGUCCAAGCUAGGCCUCCCAAAGGCCAUUAGGCAAAGGCAACGAUCUGCACUGCACACAAGACGCCAGGGAAGAUUGCCAGAGUUGAGACCAAAGCUCGUGACAGGUUCGUCGUCGCCGUCCGCUGGUCCGGCCGGUGCAUGACUUUUGAAGACACACAUAGAUAUAGAUUCCUUUCAUCCUUUGCAAAACAAAAACACAUAAUACCGGAAAGCGAUCGAUUGGGAGGGCUGGCGGGCUGCUUCCAUCAAGUUCCAGCUACUACUCGAUUUAAUGUGGCACGCGGCCGGGAGCUAGCUCUCAUUUUCACACCAAACGAAGUAAUCUUCCUGUUAUUUAUUGAUUAGAGGCACCAACGGAGACAUUACGUUAAUGCUCCCCAGACACGUUAGAAAAAAAAUAAAUCCUAACAUUUUUAAUAAUAAGAAGAAAUAUCUAGCUUUUGAUUUGGUAGACUCUAGUCAUCAUCGCCGAUAACAUCCAUUAGAUCUGUAGUUUAUUAAAAAUUACCCACCACUGCUAUUAUAAAAAAAAAUACAUAAAGUAACCCCCUAUUUUGCAUGUAAAUUACCCAUCUUUGUCACUACAAAAGAUAAUUCAAAAUAACCCCUUAAAUUUGCAUCUAAAUUACCCACCUUGGCCAUUAUGAAACAUAGUUUAAAAUAGCAUCCUAACAUAGCGUCUAAAUUACCCAACUUUACCAUUAUGAAAGAUAAUUUAAUCCUCAAACAUUGUAUCUAAAUUACCACAUAAAC
rnacentral:lncRNA from 1 species